rnacentral:tRNA from 3 species
GCCCUGGUUGUGUAGUUCGGCCUAUCAUGAAGCCCUGUCGAGGCUUCGACCCGGGUUCAAAGAACACGUUAACUGCU